CAGUCGACGAAGCGAUUUAGCGGAAGUUUUCGGAUGGAAGCUAGAUUGACUGAGUGGCGGACGGGUGAGUAACGCGUGGGUAACCUGCCUCACACUGGGGGACAACAGUUAGAAAUGACUGCUAAUACCGCAUAAGCGCACAGGACCGCAUGGUCCGGUGUGAAAAACUCCGGUGGUGUGAGAUGGACCCGCGUUUGAUUAGCUAGUUGGUGGGGUAACGGCCUACCAAGGCGACGAUCAAUAGCCGACCUGAGAGGGUGACCGGCCACAUUGGGACUGAGACACGGCCCAAACUCCUACGGGAGGCAGCAGUGGGGAAUAUUGCACAAUGGGGGAAACCCUGAUGCAGCGACGCCGCGUGAGUGAAGAAGUAUUUCGGUAUGUAAAGCUCUAUCAGCAGGGAAGAAAAUGACGGUACCUGACUAAGAAGCCCCGGCUAACUACGUGCCAGCAGCCGCGGUAAUACGUAGGGGCAAGCGUUAUCCGGAUUUACUGGGUGUAAAGGGAGCGUAGACGGUAAAGCAAGUCUGAAGUGAAAGCCCGGGGCUCAACCCCGGGACUGCUUUGGAAACUGUUUAACUAGAGUGCUGGAGAGGUAAGCGGAAUUCCUAGUGUAGCGGUGAAAUGCGUAGAUAUUAGGAGGAACACCAGUGGCGAAGGCGGCUUACUGGACAGUAACUGACGU
rnacentral:rRNA from 1 species